CAAUUUUAAAAAAAAAUUGGUAAAAUAAAUUUGUAAAUAAAUAUUGAAGAAAAAAGAAAGUAAAAUAAUAUUUUAACAAAUUAAUAUUUAUUAAUAUAUAUAUUAAUAUUUAAAUUAAUAUUUUACCAAUUAUUUUUUUUUAUAUGGAAAAUAUCGUUAAAUAUUAAUGUUUUAUUAUUGAGAUAAUUUUUAUCAAAAUGAAUAACAUUUAUUCGAAUCAUUUUGUAUAAUAAAAAUUUGGCAAUAUCUAAAAACUUUGAUAAAUUAUUAUGUAUGUUAUGAUUAUUAAACUAACUAUUUUAAAUAUAAAAGAAUAAGAAAAAUAUUUAAGAAGUAUUAAAAAGCUAAAAUAUAAUAAUACAUUUUGUUAAAUAUGAAAAUAAAAAAUAUAUAUUAUAUAAUAUUUUAUAGUGUAUAUAAUAAAAUAAAAUAAGAUAUAAUAAGAUAAGAUCUGUAAAAAUAAUAUAAAUACAUAGUUCAAGAAAAGUUUCUGAAGUUGAUUAUUGAAAUUUUAAACAAUAAAUAUGUUUAUUAGGUUGUUUUGAAAGAUUUUUUUUAGUAGAUUUUUAUAGAUAUUUUUCUAAAACCUUCAUGAUUUCAUUUUUCUAGAAUAGUAAUCGAAAUUGAUAGUAAUUUAUUAUUAGAUAUUUUAAUGAUUUUAUAUUAUAUAAUUUAUAUUUAUAUAAUUUAUAUGAUUUUAUAAAUGAUUUUAUCAUAUACAAAAUAUCUUAAUAUUAGAAUUCCAUUUGGCUGGAAUAAGCAAAAUGACUUUCAUAUUGUUAUUUGAGAAAAUAUACUGAUAGUAUCAUUAGAAGAACUUAAUUUUUUUAAGGAGAAUUAUUAAAUCAUCUAAUUAUUUCAUUUGAUGUGUAAUGUAAUUGUAAAAUAAUAAUCUGUAGUAUAUAUAGUAUAAUUUGUUAAUUAUUUAAUAUUUGGAAGUAUAUAGGUUUUUGAAAAAAAAUAUAUUUCUCAAAAUAAAAUAAUAAUAACUAUGCGUGCUAAUAACAAAAAGAAUAUUUGGGACAAGACAUUUUGGGAUAAUCUAAUAUGUUACAGUAUGUUCAAAAUAAUAUUAUUAUUACUAAUAUAUUAUUAAUACUAUUAUUAAUAAGAUAUAAGUAAUAUUAUUAUUAGCAAGAUAUCAAUAUUGUACACAGUAAUUUGAUAUUUGAAUAUCAUGAUUUAUAAGAGAUUAUUCUAUAUAUUUGUUUUUCGAUUAUUUUUAUAUAAUGAAUUGAACUAUCGAAUAUAUACAUAAAAAAAAAUUAAACUCUUUAAAACAUAAGAAAGGAAAUAUUAAAUAUUAAGUAUAGUAUUUAAUUUUUAUAAAAAUAAUUUUUAUAAAAAUUGCUAUUUAAAUAAAUUAAUAUAAAUUUGAUGAAUAUUUUUUUUUAAAUAAUUUUGACAUUAUUUUAUUUAUCCCUUAUUUAUUUCCGCUAACUAUAACGAAAUUACUAAAAAAAUUUAAUUAAAAUAAACAAAUAUAUGUGUAUAUAGAGAAAAUUUUCUUGUAAAUCGUGGUGUAUAAAUAUUAAUUCGAAUUAUAAAUUUCAAACCGUAAAAAUUUUUAAAUGAAAUUUUUAAAUAUUUAUAAAAAUUAAAGAAUAUUCGUUAUAUAUAUGUAAAAAAAGGUCACAAAAGUAAACGAAUGCUUAAAGAUGAGCUGUGUUUAUAUUGAAUUUAUACAAUACAUUUAGGAUCGAAGUUUUUACACUGAAUUUACACGAUAAAUGUUAGGAUCGAACUCAGUUCAUGCUAAGGCAUCGUUUAAUAAGUUUGGCGUGUUUAUAGUUAAUUUAGUUAACUAAUUAUUUAUAGUUAUAGAUUGAUCAGUUGCUAAUUAAAUUAUACUCAUACGUGAAAACAUAUACAAUAGAAAGAAAUGAAAUUUCUACUGUGCCAGUUUUUAACAAUAAUAUGAUUGUAUGUUGUUGAAGAAUUAUUAGCAUUUAUUGAAAAAUUGGUUAUGAGUUGCAAUGAUUGACGAAUUAUAAUAUACGAUAUAUAUAUAUAGUCAUAAUAUACGAUAAUGAUUGGAUGUUACGUUCAGCAUAUCAGACUAUUUUGAUAUGCUGAAUUAUUGGAUAUGAAAUUAUUGAAAUUUAUUGUAAUUCGAAUAGAUUCCAUGUCCAAUCGAUGAUUUAACAAAAAAUAUUGUUAUAAAAAGCCGAACACUAUCAGUAAGAAUUGAUCCUACAGGAUAGAUAAGAUGAUUGAUCAAAAAUUUUAAAAGAUUUAAAUUACUGAAUAAUGAAAAUUUUAUUGUGAAUAAUACCCCAAAAAUGACUGAUAAUACAAUGGAUUCAUAUCUACCUUAUUAUUGUGGAAGAAAUCAACUGUUGAAACUACUAAAAUAAUUUGUACGAUACUGGGAGAGAUUCUGUAUCUUGCAGAAAAAAUGAUACCAAAGAUUUAAAGCUGGAAACUUUAAUUUGGAAAACAACGAUCGUUCAGAUGCACCGAGAAAAUUUGAUGAUGGUGAAUUAGAGGAAUUGCUCAACGAAAAUUCGACUCAGACUUAAGAAGAAUUGGCAAAAAGAUUGAGAGUCAGGUAAGUCAGGUAUCUAUCCGACUAAAAUAAUUGAGAGAUCCUAAUCCGAUUAAAAUAAGAUUCAGAAGUUAAAGCGAUGAGUCUUACAUGAAUUAAGCGAAAUGAAUCAGAAAAACUCGAGAUUUCUACUGCCUUGCUUUCAUGGCAUAAAAGAAAAAGUUUUCUGCACAAAAUUGGCGAUGAAAAAUGGGUCAUAUAUGACAAUCCUAAACGAUGUAAAUCAUGGAUUAACCGGGGAACUGACUUCAAUGGCAAAUUUGCAUUGCAAAAAAGUUUUGCUGUCUAUAUGGUGGCAUUUCCGAGGAAUCAUCCAUUAUGAAUUGCUUUUACCUGGAAGAACAAUAAUUAUUGAAUAUUAUUAAAAUCAGUUAAUGAAUUUAUACAAAUAGCUACAGCAGAAAUAGCCAUUUAAUGGACAAGAAAUUAAGACACGUGAUUUUGUAGCAUGAUAAUGCUCAGCCACACUUUGCAAAAAGAACACGGGAUAUAAUUUAUGCGUUGUUCUGAAAUGGAAAGUCCUGCCAUAUGCGGCAUACUUUCCAGAAUGAAUCCCGCCAGAUUAUCUUUCUUUUAAUCUGCAAUUGUCGGAGAAGCAAUUCUAUUCAGAAGAAGAUAUCUGGAAAUAUAUUGAUGAAUUUAUAACCAAUAAGUAAUCGUCAAUUCUUCAGAUGGAAUUUAUAAUUUACUCAUCAGAUGAGAAAAGAUUAUAGAAAAUGAGGAUAAAUAUUUUGAGAUAUAAUUUUAUGCCAGAUUUGUAAUAAAAUUUUGAAUUUGGAAAAAAAAGGAAAAAACCUUAUUUGCACACCUAUUAAAAAAAAAAAAAAAAGAAUAAAAAAAAAAUAAUAUUAUAUAUAUACUGCAUUAUACACUCUCCACUUUCUUAUGGAGGUGUCAAUCAUUAUGUCACCUUAUUAAUUUUUAUUAAUUUUUUCGUUCGUUUUCGUCACAAAAUAACUGCAAAUAAAUAUAAAAUAUAAAACUUUUAAUUAAAUAUAAAAUUAUUUAAAAAAUUAAAAAUAUUUUACUAAAAAAAAUAUUUCUUUUAAUUCACCAUUAUCAAACUUUCUCGAUGCAUCUGAACAAUCGUCGUUUUCCAAUUAAAAUUUAUUAUGAAAUUAAAUCUUCAAAGUGUAAUAAGUAAAUUCCAAACACCGAAAUGCACAUGCCUGAAUUUAUGUACAUUUGAUUUUGCAAAAAACAAAUCUAUAUAAUGAAAUAAUUAAUCCUUUGAUUUUUCAUUCCAGUUGAUUUGAUUAAUAUUAUUAUAUUAUUUUCUUAUAUAUUUAUUUUCUAUAUUCUAAUAAUUAAAAUGAUUAUCUGUUGUAUAAAUUUUUUAUAUAAAAAAAUAAUAAUAUAAAAUAUACAAUAUAAUAUACAUAUAUUAUAUAAAAAAUAUAAUAUAUAAUGUAUAUAAAGUAUAAUAUACACAAACACGAAAUAGAAUUUAAAUAGAGAUUUAUUUUAUUGUUUAAAUUUUAUAAUUUUACAUGGAUAUUAUGUUUGAAUAUUUUAUUGCAUAUCUUUGCAUAUCGUAUAUAUUAUAUAGAUUUUUAUACAAAUUUUUUAAGUUUUGUACAAAUACGUUAAUAUUUACAAUUUACUUAUUAAUAAUUACUUAUUAAUGUAUUUAAUAAAUAUUUUUUGUUUUAUUUUCUCAAAAAAAUAUUGUUAUAUACUCAAAAAAAAAAUUUUUCCAGAAAUUAAAAUACAUAUUUCACAUAUUGUUAUGGUAUAGACAGAAAUUUAUAUAAAUAAAGAAAUGUCUGAAUUAAUAAAAA